CCCAAUAAAUGUGUACAGAGCUGUAAAAGUUGAUUGUAAUCUUGUGGACUGCAGCUGUCACUCAAAAGUCUCAGGCCUAACUAUGCAGCGCCCACGCACGUCUGCAGAUCUGGUCCUCCGGCUUGUCUGUUCAGGAGCAUAGAGUCCCGUAUUUUGAGGUGUUCAAUGGAAUUUAGAUCUGGACUCAUUGCUGGCCACUUCAGAACUCUCCAGCGCUUUGUUGCCAUCCAUUUCCGGGUACUUUGUGACGCAUGUUUGGGGUCAUUGUCCUGCUGGAAGACCCAAGAUCUCAGACACAAACCCAGAUUUCUGACACUGGGCUGUACAGUGCGACCCAAAAUCCAUUGGUAAUCCUCAGAUUUCAUGAUGCCUUGCUCACAUUCAAGGCACCCAGUGCCAGAGGCAGCAAAACAACCCCAAAACAUCACUGAACCUCCACCAUAUUUCACUGUAGGUACUGUGUUCUUUUCUUUGUAGGCCUCAUUCCGUUUUUGAUAAACAGUAGAAAGAUGUGCUUUACCAAAAAGCUCUA